rnacentral:rRNA from 1 species
AUCUACGGUCAUACCACCCUGAACGCACCUGCUCUUGGAAGCUAAGCAGGGUCGGGUCUGGUUAGUAUCUUGGAUGGGAGGCCACCUGGGAAUACCAGGUGCUGUAGGCU